rnacentral:rRNA from 1 species
UACGUAGGGUGCAAGCGUUAAUCGGAAUUACUGGGCGUAAAGCGUGCGCAGGCGGUUAUUUAAGUCGGUUGUGAAAUCCCCGGGCUCAACCUGGGAACUGCAUCGGAGACUGCAUAGCUAGAGUACGGUAGAGGGGGAUGGAAUUCCGCGUGUAGCAGUGAAAUGCGUAGAUAUGCGGAGGAACACCGAUGGCGAAGGCAAUCCCCUGGACCUGUACUGACGCUCAUGCACGAAAGCGUGGGGAGCAAACAGG